AUACGUAGGGUGGAAGCGUUAAUCGGAAUUACUGGGCGUAAAGCGUGCGCAGGCGGUUUUGUAAGACAGAGGUGAAAUCCCCGGGCUCAACCUGGGAACUGCCUUUGUGACCGCAAGGCUAGAGUACGGCAGAGGGGGAUGGAAUUCCUUGUGUAGCAGUGAAAUGCUUAGGUAUGCGGAGGAACACCGAUGGCGAAGGCAGUCCCCUGGGCCUGUACUGACGCUCAUGCACGAAAGCGUGGGGAGCAAACAGGAUUGGAUACCCUGGUAGUCCACGCCCUAAGCGAUGUCAACUGGUUGGUGGGUCUUCAGUGACUCAGUAACGAAGCUAACGCGUGAAGUUGACCGCCUGGGGAGUACGGCCGCAAGGUUGAAACUCAAAUGAAUUGACGGGG
rnacentral:rRNA from 1 species